CAAAACAAAAAUUACACAGUUAGUGGAGAAAAGAAAUUGGGGGAAGAGAAAUCUUAGGGUUCUUAUCAGUUCAGUUCAACGUUUGAGGGAGGUCACCGGAGUCGGUGGAAGGGCGGCAGAUGCUACGAGGGUCACAGAUCGGGGUAGUAACAUAAGGUUGCAGGGCUGUUAAUGGAGGUUGGGGAUUGUGUGUUUGAGGGUCGGUGGCGACGCCACCACUAUUAAUCUAAGAGUGGAUUGGGGGUCGCAUCUGGGUAGCACAAGAGUUGUAGCACAACUGGGUACAUGCCAAAUGUGUUCUCCACACUCUCUCUCAUCCAUUUUGUCUCCAUUAGAGGCAAAGCUCUGGCAAGGCUCAAGAGCUCAAAUGAAGACAUAUCGAUGGGGUGACAUGUAUGGCUAACAAUCCGAGUAAUUUGAGGCAAAAGAAGGGUGCAUGGCCUUUUACUUGAAGUCAUCAAACACGAAAACAAUAUGAUAAGGGAACCAACCGUCCCAAAGAAAAUCCUGCCAGCAUUCCUCCAAGUUCUAGAUAAACUUUAGAUACUACAAUUACGGCAGCACCAAGGUUGAUGGAGCUCACAUCUAUAGAAACACAUGCUGAAUGAUAUGCAAGGCCAGGUUGAUUAAUUUUUAUGAGGUUGCAAUUAAAUGUAGAUUCAUGUAUGUUUUAUUUAUUAUAUGUAUUUUAGGUAUUUAUAUAUUUGGGAUUUUCCACCCUUAGUGGAAAUAUUGGUGGAUAUUAGAUGGUAUAUGUGGUUGGUUGUAUCAUUGGUUAUUAACACAUAAUGAAAAUUUUUGUUUACAAAUUUUUGGCUUGUUAAUUACAUUCUCUAGCCUAGUUUAAUCGAGUUAUGUGAAAUCAUUGUAUAUUAUGUUUUUAGCUAAUGGGAUAAUAUAGGACCAUUGUCAUAUAUAACAUGAUACAAUGGCCAUUAUUCAUAAAAAACAUUGUCUCAUAAAAUUGAAAACAAUGAUUUUUGUUAC